CAAACGACUCUCGGCAACGGAUAUCUCGGCUCACGCAUCGAUGAAGAACGUAGCAAAAUGCGAUACUUGGUGUGAAUUGCAGAAUCCCGUGAACCAUCGAGUUUUUGAACGCAAGUUGCGCCCGAAGCCAUCCGGUUGAGGGCACGUCUGCCUGGGCGUCACG
rnacentral:rRNA from 2 species